rnacentral:lncRNA from 1 species
CUUAACUCUCCAGAGGCUUCUGGCCUCCUGGGAUAGUUCAUUGUAAGUCCUCUCAACUCUCUGCUGUUGUUAGCUGAUAACCAGCAACUUAAUGGUUGAUCUGCCUCUCAAAUACUGUCUCCCAGGAGCUCAACAGGUAGAGGUGUAAUCCACGUGGGAAAGCAGUCAACAGAGAGGCUUUGGAGCCACUGUCUGCUGGCUGUGUGACCUUCGGC